rnacentral:rRNA from 1 species
AUACGUAGGGAGCGAGCGUUGUCCGGAAUUACUGGGCGUAAAGGGCGCGUAGGCGGCGCUUCAAGUCGUCUGUCAAAUGGGAGGGCUUAACCCUUUUUCGCAGACGAAACUGGAGAGCUUGAGAAGCAGAGAGGCAAACAGAAUUCCUGGUGUAGCGGUGAAAUGCGUAGAUAUCAGGAAGAAUACCAGUCGCGAAGGCGGUUUGCUGGCUGCAUACUGACGCUGAAGCGCGAAAGCCAGGGGAGCGAACGGGAUUAGAUACCCCGGUAGUCCUGGCAGUAAACGAUGUAUGCUGGGUGUGAGACUAGCGAUAGUUUCGUGCCGAAGUUAACGCGAUAAGCAUACCGCCUGGGGAGUACGGUCGCAAGAUUGAAACUCAAAUGAAUUGACGGGG